rnacentral:rRNA from 1 species
GACGAACCGUGCGAACGUUGUUCGGAAUCACUGGGCUUAAAGGGCGCGUAGGCGGCAGAUCAAGUCCGGGGUGAAAGCCCCCCAGCUCAACUGGGGAAGUGCCUUGGAUACUGAUUUGCUCGAGGGAGGGUAGGGGUCGCGGGAACUUCCGGUGGAGCGGUGAAAUGCGUUGAUAUCGGAAGGAACGCCGGUGGCGAAAGCGCGCGACUGGACCUCUUCUGACGCUGAGGCGCGAAAGCCAGGGGAGCGAAACGGG